rnacentral:ncRNA from 1 species
AUGGAGGGUGCCGAAAAUCCAAUAAAGAGUAGGCA